GCUGGCGUGGCUCAAUUGGUAGAGCACCCGAUUUGUAAUCGGGCGGUUGGGAGUUCGAGUCUCUCCGCCAGCA
rnacentral:tRNA from 1 species